CGUGUUUGUACAUAAUACUUGGUAAUGAUAACAAACAACUAUGCUACUGGUUUAUGUACUUACUAUACUAUAAUUUUUAUCAUUAUUUUAGAGUAAAAAAGUUACAAUAAGCUAAGGUUGAUUUAUUAUUGAAGAAAGAAAAAUAUUUUUUAUAAAUUUGGUGUAACCUAAGUAUACUGUUUAUAAAAUCUACAGUAGUCUAUAGUAAUAUCUUAAGUCUUCCCAUUCACUCACCACUCACUCCUGACUCAGAGCAACUUCCAGUCCUGCAAGAUCCAUUCAUGGGAGUAGCUGCAUCUGGUCAAUUUAUUCACAUGAAGGCCUAUGAAUGGAAUUUCCAGAACUGUCCUUCUGCCACAUCAAGAAUGAAUUAUUUAUAUACCUACUGAAACAACUGAGGAGAAACCUACAAAAAUAAAUUUGGACUUAUGUUGCAUACCUUAUAUCAAGAUAAGUUCCCAAUGAUUUAAUUAUUUAAAAUAAAAUUUAUCAAGGAGAUACAAAA
rnacentral:lncRNA from 1 species